GGAUUUUGCACCUGAGUCAGACAUCAUAGAAGGACCGUUCUUGCAUCAAAGUGUAGGAUUUUUCACCUGAGUCUGAGUUCGUAGAAGGACCAUUCUCGCAUCAAAUUGAAUUUUGCUCUUGAGUCUGACAUCGUAGGAGGAACAUUCUUGCAUCAGAAUGGAUUUUGCACCUGAGUCUGAGAUCGUAGAAAAACCCAUUCUGGUAUCAGAUUGGAUUUUGCACCUGAGUCUAACAUUGUAGAAGGACCAUUCUUGCAUCAGAAUGACUAAUUUUUGAUGGUUUUGGGGAUUUUGCACCUGAGUCUGAGAUCGUAGAAGGACCAUUCUGGCAUCAGAUUGGAUUUUGCACCUGAGUCUGACAUCGUAGAAGGACCAUUAUGGUAUCAGAUUGGAUUUUGCACCUGAGUCUGUCAUCGUAGAAGGACCAUUCUGGUGUCAGAUUGGAUUUUGCACCUGAGUCUGACAUCGUAGAAGGACUAUUCUUGUGUUAGAUUGGAUUUUGCACCUGAGUCUGACAUCGUAGAUGGACCAUUCUUGCAUCAGAUUGGAUUUUGCACCUGAGUCUGACAUCGUAGAAGGACCAUUCUUGCAUCAGAUUGGAUUUUGCACCUGAGUCUGACAUCGUAGAAGGACCAUUCUGGUAUCAGAUUGGAUUUUGCACCUGAGUCUGACAUCGUAGAAGGACCAUUCUUGCAUCAGAUUGGAUUUUGCACCUGAGUCUGACAUCGUAGAAGGACCAUUCUGGUAUCAGAUUGGAUUUUGCACCUGAGUCUGACAUCGUAGAAGGACCAUUCUGGUAUCAGAUUGGAUUUUGCACCUGAGUCUGACAUCGUAGAUGGACCAUUCUUGCAUCAGAUUGUUAUUAAAUUUCAUUAUCUUAAAUAACUUAUGUGAUUAUUACACAAAUUGACUCCCAAAAUGUAUGCUUGUGUGUUUUCUUUAAUAAAGAAUAUUUUUAAGUUUA